GGCGUUAUAGCUCAGCGGCAGAGCGGGGGAUUCAUAAGCCCUAGGUCACUAGUUCAAAUCUAGUUAACGCCA
rnacentral:tRNA from 1 species